rnacentral:rRNA from 1 species
CCCGGCGAAAGCCGGAUUAAUACCGCAUACGAUCUUUGGAUGAAAGCGGGGGAUCGCAAGACCUCGCGCUAUUGGGGUGGCCGAUGGCGGAUUAGCUAGUUGGUGGGGUAAAGGCUCACCAAGGCGACGAUCCGUAGCUGGUCUGAGAGGACGACCAGCCACACUGGGACUGAGACACGGCCCAGACUCCUACGGGAGGCAGCAGUGGGGAAUUUUGGACAAUGGGCGAAAGCCUGAUCCAGCAAUGCCGCGUGUGUGAAGAAGGCCUUCGGGUUGUAAAGCACUUUUGUCCGGAAAGAAAUCCUUUUCGAUAAUACCGAAGGGGGAUGACGGUACCGGAAGAAUAAGCACCGGCUAACUACGUGCCAGCAGCCGCGGUAAUACGUAGGGUGCGAGCGUUAAUCGGAAUUACUGGGCGUAAAGCGUGCGCAGGCGGUGAUGUAAGACCGAUGUGAAAUCCCCGGGCUUAACCUGGGAACUGCAUUGGUGACUGCAUCGCUGGAGUAUGGCAGAGGGGGGUAGAAUUCCACGUGUAGCAGUGAAAUGCGUAGAGAUGUGGAGGAAUACCGAUGGCGAAGGCAGCCCCCUGGGCCAAUACUGACGCUCAUGC